rnacentral:tRNA from 1 species
UCCCCGAUAGCUCAAUGGUAGAGCACCCGGCUGUUAACCGGGUUGUUGAAGGUUCGAGUCCUUCUCGGGGAG